rnacentral:rRNA from 1 species
AUUGAACGCUGGCGGCAGGCCUAACACAUGCAAGUCGAGCGAGCGGCGGACGGGUGAGUAAUUUAUGGGGACUGCCCGAUAGAGGGGGAUAACUACUGGAAACGGUAGCUAAUACCGCAUACUAUCGGAUAACCCAUAUGGGAUUAGCUAGUAGGUGAGGUAAUGGCUCACCUAGGCGACGAUCCCUAGAUGGUCUGAGAGGAUGAACAGCCACACUGGGACUGAGACACGGCCCAGACAACUACGGAGGCAGCAGGGGGGAAUAUUGAACGAUGGGCGGAAGCCUGAUGCAGCCAUGCCGCGUGUAUGAAGAAGGCCUAGGGUUGUAAAGGAAUUUCAGUCGGGAGGCGUUACCGACAGAAGAAGCACCGGCUAACUCCGUGCCAGCAGCCGCGGUAAUAC